rnacentral:rRNA from 1 species
UCAGAUUAAACGCUGGCGGCAAUGCCUUACACAUGCAAGUCGAAACGGCAGCACGGGGGCAACCCUGGUGGCGAGUGGCGGACGGGGUGAGUAAAAGCAUCGGAACGUAUCCUGGAGUGGGGGGAUAACGUAGCGAAAGUUACGCUAAUACCGCAUAUUCUGUGAGCAGGAAAAGCAGGGGAUCGCAAGACCUUGCGCUCUGGGAGCGGCCGAUGUCGGAUUAGCUAGUUGGUGGGGUAAAGGCCUACCAAGGCGACGAUCCGUAGCGGGGUCUGAGAGGAUGAUCCGCCACACUGGGGACUGAGACACGGCCCAGACUCCUACGGGAGGCAGCAGUGGGGGAAUUUUGGACAAUGGGCGGAAGCCUGAUCCAGCCAUGCCGCGUGAGUGAAGAAGGCCUCGGGUUGG